GGAAGGGGUGUAUUUAUUAGAUAAAAAACCAAUGCCCUUCGGGGCUUCUUGGUGAUUCAUGAUAACUUUACGGAUCGCAUGGCCUUGCGCCGGCGACGGUUCAUUCAAAUUUCUGCCCUAUCAACUUUCGAUGGUAAGGUAUUGGCUUACCAUGGUUUCAACGGGUAACGGGGAAUUAGGGUUCGAUUCCGGAGAGGGAGCCUGAGAAACGGCUACCACAUCCAAGGAAGGCAGCAGGCGCGCAAAUUACCCAAUCCCGACACGGGGAGGUAGUGACAAUAAAUACUGAUACAGGGCUCUUUUGGGUCUUGUAAUUGGAAUGAGUACAAUUUAAACCUCUUAACGAGGAACAAUUGGAGGGCAAGUCUGGUGCCGGCAGCCGCGGUAAUUCCAGCUCCAAUAGCGUAUAUUAAAGUUGUUGCAGUUAAAAAGCUCGUAGUUGAAACUUGGGCCUGGCUGGCGGGUCCGCCUCACCGCGUGCACUCGUCCGGCCGGGCCUUCCUUCUGAAGAACCUCAUGCCCUUCACUGGGCGUGCUGGGGAAUCAGGACUUUUAC
rnacentral:rRNA from 1 species